rnacentral:rRNA from 1 species
CUGGCCGUAAACGAUGGGUACUAGGUGUAGGAGGUAUCGACCCCUUCUGUGCCGGAGUUAACGCAAUAAGUACCCCGCCUGGGGAGUACGGCCGCAAGGCUGAAACUCAAAGGAAUUGACGGGGGCCCGCACAAGCGGUGGAGUAUGUGGUUUAAUUCGACGCAACGCGAAGAACCUUACCAAGCCUUGACAUUGAUCGCAAUGGAUAGAGAUAUCCAGUUCCUCUUCGGAGGACGAGAAAACAGGUGG